UACGGAGGGUGCAAGCAUUAAUCGGAUUUAUUGGGUGUAAAGGGCGCGUAGGCGGGUCGGUAAGUCAGAUGUGAAAUUCCGGAGCUCAAUUCCGGAGCUGCAUUUGAAACUGCCAAUCUUGAGGAUAGACGGAGAAAAUGGAAUUCCACAUGUAGCGGUGAAAUGCGUAGAUAUGUGGAGGAACACCUGUGGCGAAAGCGAUUUUCUAGUUUAUAUCUGACGCUGAGGCGCGAGAGCAAGGGGAGCAAACAGG
rnacentral:rRNA from 1 species